AUGUCCAAAACAAAGGGAAGCCCUAACCAAGGAAGGAAAACAGAAACAAAGGCAUACACAUACAAUACAGAAGAAAAUGGUCAUGUGAUAUCAAAACCAAUGCAGUUCCAAGUGCCAUCAUUCACAAGACAAACUCAUGCAUUCAUCACAACAUCAUGCAUAAUGCGUUAUUCAAUUCAGUCAGACCAUAGCAUGACAAGCUGUGCAUUCAUAUUCGUUCCAAAAAACACAUCUCAGUGCCAUUCAAUUCAAUACAAAAAUGACACAUAUGCACCAGUCAGUCCAAUAUCCAGAGCUCAUACAAUAUUCAGAAAAGAGGUCCUUAACCUAGCAGCCAUAUCCUAA